rnacentral:tRNA from 1 species
GGCCCCAUCGUCUAGUGGCUAGGACGCCUCGCUUUCAAUGAGGCAACACGGGUCCGAUUCCCGUUGGGGCUA